AAUAAUGUUACGAGUUCUAGAGCUAACUAUUGGUACUAGUAAAUACUGCACAGCUUCACUGGCUCACUGCUAACCUUCUUUCUAUACACCUUUGUUUAUUCUUCGAGACCUGCAAAGUUCAAGCCCUUUGAGCUUUGUCCUUUUCAAGGUCACCAUUCUCAGGUUUGAUCUUUUUCAUGUCGGAACCAGUCUUCCUUUUUCUGGUUUUAAGCGGCUUACCGGCAGAAUCUUUCCUGUCAACACCAAAAAUAUAUUUGAGAGCAGAUUCUACAGAUUCAGAUUUGAAGAUGCUGGCAGAAGUUUUACUGUCCGAAUCAUUAGAUUGAUGCGGUCAUGAUUGAAUUUCAACCGAAUUAAAUUUGGUAAAAUUGAUUAUGGUAAAAUGAGUUGAAAGUACAGUGAUAUAUGUUUGAAUACAUUAAUGAUAAAAGUGUUUUUUAUAGGGUAGUAUUGUGAAAUUCAGUUGUAAAAUCUCAAGUGAUUAUGUCUAUCCUAGAAGCUAGGAUUUGUAGCUUCAUCCUAGAAUUAAUUGUAAAACCAAACAUUUAAACACCAAAAAAUUGAUUCUAAUUCUGAUACUGGAGAAUCAAUAUAACGCUUACAAACGUGAAACCAAACAUUAUCUAGAUUAAAUAUUUGUGAAUCCCUAAUAUAUUGCCUAGUAUGCAGACUAACCUGGACUGAGAAUUGGUCUUUGCACCCUUAGCUGACUCCAACUCGGGAGUUUCUCUGCAUUUUUCUACCCUGCAUAUUAUGAAUAACUUGACAAUAUAAGCUUCAUAAAUCAGUUGAAGAUUAAUAAAAAAAUAGGUGGAUUGAACAAAACUGACAACACCAAUUUAGCGAUCAUAUAAGAUAAAAGGCCAGUUAUUGGUAUGAAAUCCAUGAUAAUUUGGUAUGCUAUAGAUACAAUAUAGUUCAAGGGAUUUGAAAUAACAUUUCAAAAAUAUACUUCUAGUUAGAGGUCCUUUCAAUUGAAACUGGAUUUAGAAAAAUAAACUGGCAAAAGUCCUUCACUUUGAUUUAAUAAGCUUAUAAGUUUUCUUUUUGAAAAAAGAUAGAUAUUAUGAAAGUUAAAACAAAGCAAAUAAUGACAACACCAAUAUAACGAUCAUAUAAGAUAAAAGGCCAGUUAUUGGUCACUGCUAACCUUCUUUCUAUACACCUUUGUUUAUUCUUCGAGACCUGCAAAGUUCAAGCCCUUUGAGCUUUGUCCUUUUCAAGGUCACCAUUCUCAGGUUUGAUCUUUUUCAUGUCGGAACCAGUCUUCCUUUUUCUGGUUUUAAGCGGCUUACCGGCAGAAUCUUUCCUG
rnacentral:lncRNA from 1 species